UGCAUUGCAGACCACGUGUCACAUUAAGUAACAAGCUCUGAGGUCAACUUACUCAACUUCUUGCACAUUUUUUAAGGCGGUGUAAUGUGUUGCUACAUGCUGGCCCACAGUGUGAAAUCAGUCCGAAGCUGGGUCGGAUUUAAUUUGGAUUUUCUGAUCGGAUUUUUAGUGGUCAGGUUUUACUCUUCGGAUUGGAUCAGAAACCUCCCCCGGAUCCCUUCACCCCGUCUUUCAGUCGACUUUUCAAAGCAUAAUUUGAGUGUGCAGGCUUGAAGAAGUCACCGCGUGGGUGGGAAAAAUGGGUGAUUGGCUGUGAUUGCAACAUCAUCCUCAGCUGCAGAGGUAGGUGUGAAGAGUGCUGAUCUCAGAUCACCUGCAAUCUAAUAUAAAACAGACACAAUGAUGCAGAUAUGAACUAUAUUUUAUUUGCAGAUGCAUCCUUUGCUACAAAUGAUCAAGCGUUAUUGCAUUUUAGGCAAGA